UACGUAGGGUGCAAGCGUUAAUCGGAAUUACUGGGCGUAAAGGGUGCGCAGGCGGUUCGGAAAGAAGGAUGUGAAAUCCCAGGGCUCAACCUUGGAAUGGCAUUCUUAACUACCGGGCUAGAGUGUGUCAGAGGGGGUGGAAUUCCGCGUGUAGCAGUGAAAUGCGUAGAGAUGCGGAGGAACACCGAUGGCGAAGGCAGCCCCCUGGGAUAACACUGACGCUCAGGCACGAAAGCGUGGGUAGCAAACAGGAUUAGAUACUCCCGUAGU
rnacentral:rRNA from 1 species